rnacentral:sRNA from 1 species
CGGUCUGUACUUCAGAAAUAACUACAAUCUAAGCAAUGUUGAAGACAUUUUAAGGAAGUCAUGCCAUUGGGCCUAGCAUACAAAGUGCUUGAUAGAAGCUUCAUUAAUCUUAUUAAAUAACAUGUCUUCGUCAUGCAUUGAUUAGACAUACAAAUCAUUAAUCCCCAUAAGGGAUUGCAGAGGAAUUUAAUGUCACUCCAAAACCAGCCUUUUCCUGCCUAUGGUUGUCAAGGUAACGAGCAUCUUACAUUCUAAGCAAACAGAUCUUUCAACAAAAGAUUUCUGAAGCCACCAUAGGUAACAUACAGCUGCCCAUGCCUCCCUCUUUGUAGAAGAGUUUCCGGGAGAAGCCUCGGGAGGGCUAAUCAAGAUAUUAAAUUUACUCACAGACAACCUGUGUCAAUGCCUGGUAGCAAGUUGGGUGUUCAAUGGAAAUGAAAGAUUAGAAGACCAUUUAGAUGGCUUGGUGGGCAGAGUGCUCACCAACAAGUCUGAGGAACUGAUACCCAGAAUCCACCUGGUGUAAAGACAAAAAUGACCUCCUGAAAGAUGCCUUCUGACCUCUGCACGGAUGCUAUGGCCCAGUCCACACCUGGAACCUGAAGCAGACAACGGUAAGGGAUUACAGCAUUAAUAAAAUGGACAACGGAGACUCGAAGAAUACAAAACAAUAGCCAGAAGAGUGCCAGUGCAGGAGGAGAGAAGGCAUGAGGUUUCACGUUACCACUUAGGCCAAUGGCAGCAUCUGAAUCUGAAGAACUGCACAGUUGAAAUGAAAGCAGCUUCAAGAAUGCAUUACUACCUUAAUGAUGCGUAGAGAAGCUCUGUGGACAAAUCAAACAGGCCCACUGUUGUCUGCUAUCAACCCAGAAGUUUUAUCUGUGUGCAAUGCUAAGAAUGCUAUCGGGAUGUUAUUUGGAGAGACAGAGCAAUGCCACUGAGGAGAACAUAUUCGACAGUACUUGACUCACAUACGAGGUUGAAAGACACAGGGCAGAUAUGAAAAAUGGGGAGAAGAGAAG